UCAUUGAGGAUGAAUGGUCACAAAUCGAAAAAUAAAUGUAGCAUUCCACAAUCUAAAGGAAGUAAGCGAGCUGUUGUUUCUUCCUCGAACCUCCUUCACCAUACAAAUCAUUCCAGUGCUUCAACUCAUUCAUUACAGAUCCUUCUGAUGCAAAACUUGCAGCCUCUUGCAUUUAAUCAGAUAUCCGUAGUGCGAUGACUGGAGUAUUUUCUACGUCUUUCUUUGUUUUGUUCCAAUGGAGUCGUGUAAGGACCAUAUUACUUAUAAAAAAAUUUCAUACUUAAUUGUUUUUUAUGUAAUGUGA